UCAUGUUCAUGGUAAUUUGCAUAUAAAUUGAUUUGGGUCUUUAGGCCUGCCCUCUCUGAUGUCUUUUGGCUUUGAUUUAGGGGCAUGGUUCUGCAACAAACUC